rnacentral:rRNA from 1 species
GAUGAACGCUGGCGGCGUGCCUAAUACAUGCCAGUCGAGCGAACAGACGAGGAGCUUGCUCCUCUGACGUUAGCGGCGGACGGGUGAGUAACACGUGGAUAACCUACCUAUAAGACUGGGAUAACUUCGGGAAACCGGAGCUACUACCGGAUAACAUGUUGAACCGCAUGGUUCAACAGUGAAAGACGGUCUUGCUGUCACUUAUAGAUGGAUCCGCGCCGCAUUAGCUAGUUGGUAAGGUAACGGCUUACCAAGGCAACGAUGCGUAGCCGACCUGUGAGGGUGAUCGGCCACACGGGAAGUGAGACACGGUCCAGACUCCUACGGGAGGCAGCAGUAGGGAAUCUUCCGCAAUGGGCGAAAGCCUGACGGAGCAACGCCGCGUGAGUGAUGAAGGUCUUCGGAUCGGAAAACUCUGUUAUUAGGGAAGAACAAAUGUGUAAGUAACUAUGCACGUCUUGACGGUACCUAAUCAGAAAGCCACGGCUAACUACGUG